UACGGAGGGGACUAGCGUUGUUCGGAGUUACUGGGCGUAAAGCGCACGUAGGCGGCCAUCUAAGUCAGACGUGAAAUCCCCCGGCUUAACCUGGGAACUGCGUCUGAUACUGGAAGGCUUGAGUAUGGGAGAGGGAUGUAGAAUUCCAGGUGUAGCGGUGAAAUGCGUAGAUAUCUGGAGGAAUACCGGUGGCGAAGGCGGCAUCCUGGACCAUUACUGACGCUGAGGCGCGAAAGCUAGGGGAGCAAACGGG
rnacentral:rRNA from 1 species